rnacentral:sRNA from 1 species
GAACGUAGCUGGUCGCAGAGGGCACCAGCGGCUGCAGGACUUCACCGAGGGACCCUGAGGCUCGUGAGCAGGGACCCGCGGUGCGGGUUAUGCUGGGGGCUCAGAUCACCGUAGACAACUGGACACUCAGGACCGCGCCAUGGAGGAGCUGCAGGAUGAUUAUGAAGAUGUGAUGGAGGAGAAUCUGGAACAGGAGGAAAAUGAAGACCCAGGCAUCCCCAAGCCCCAGAUGGAGGAGCUGGCAGCUCACGACACCGAGGCAACAGCCACAGACUACCACACCACAUCGCACCCGGGUACCCACGAGGUCUAUGUGGAGCUGCAGGAGCUGGUGAUGGACGAAAAGAACCAGGAGCUGAGAUGGAUGGAGGCGGCGCGCUGGGUGCGACUGGAGGAGAACCUGGGGGAGAACGGGGCCUGGGGCCGCCCGCACCUCUCUCACCUCACCUUCUGGAGCCUCCUAGAGCUGCAUAAAGUCUUCACCAAGGGUACUGUCCUCCUAGACCUGCAAGAGACCUCCCUGGCUGGAGUGGCCAACCAACUGCUAGACAGGUUUAUCUUUGAAGACCAGAUCCGGCCUCAGGACCGAGACGAGCUGCUCCGGGCCUUGCUGCUCAAACACAGCCAUGCCGGAGAGCUGGAGGCCCUGGGGGGUGUGAAGCCUGCAGUCCUGACACGCUCUGGGGAUCCUUCACAGCCUCUGCUCCCCCAACACUCCUCACUGGAGACACAGCUCUUCUGUGAGCAGGGAGAUGGGGGCACAGAAGGGCACUUACCAUCUGGAAUUCUAGAAAAGAUUCCCCCGGAUUCAGAGGCCACGCUGGUGCUAGUGGGCCGCGCCAUCUUCCUGGAGGAGCCGGUGCUGGGCUUUGUGAGGCUGCAGGAGGCAGCGGAGCUGGAGGCGGUGGAGCUGCCGGUGCCUGUGCGCUUCCUCUUUGUGUUGCUGGGACCUGAGGCCCCCCACAUCGAUUACACCCAGCUUGGCCGGGCCGCUGCCACACUUAUGUCAGAGAGGGUGUUCCGCGUAGAGGCCUUCGUGGCUCAGAGCCGAGCGGAGCUGCUGCGCUCCCUGGAGGGCUUCCUGGACUGCAGCCUAGUGCUGCCUCCCACCGAUGCCCCCUCUGAGCAGGCACUGCUCAGUCUGGUGCCUGUGCAGAGGGAGCUACUUCGAAGGCGCUAUCAGCCCAGCCCUGCCAAGCCAGACUCCACCUUCUACAAGGGCCUAGACUCAAAUGGGGGCCUAGGGGGCCCCGGGGGCCCAGACGACCCUCUGCAGCAGACAGGCCAGUUCUUCGGGGGCCUGGUGCGUGACAUCCGGCGCCGCUACCCCUAUUACCUGAGUGACAUCACAGAUGCAUUCAGCCCCCAGGUCCUGGCUGCUGUCAUCUUCAUCUACUUUGCUGCCUUGUCACCCGCCAUCACCUUCGGCGGCCUCCUGGGAGAAAAGACCCGGAACCAGAUGGGAGUGUCGGAGCUGCUGAUCUCCACUGCAGUGCAGGGCAUUCUCUUCGCCCUGCUGGGGGCUCAGCCCCUGCUUGUGGUCGGCUUCUCAGGACCCCUGCUGGUGUUUGAGGAAGCCUUCUUCUCGUUCUGCGAGAGCAACGGUCUAGAGUACAUCGUGGGCCGUGUGUGGAUCGGCUUCUGGCUCAUCCUGCUGGUGGUGUUGGUGGUGGCCUUUGAGGGUAGCUUCCUGGUCCGCUUCAUCUCCCGCUAUACCCAGGAGAUCUUCUCCUUCCUCAUUUCCCUCAUCUUCAUCUACGAGACCUUCUCCAAGCUGAUCAAGGUGGGGGCCUAUGGGAAUGUUAAUGCAUACGGGAGGUUGUGUAUAAGACUGAGACAGUGGCCGGGUGCGAGGGCUCAGGCCUGUAAUCCCAGAACUCUGGGAGGCCGAAGCGGGUGGAUCACCCGAGAUCAGGAGUUCAAGACCAGCCUGGCCAACA